GCAAUGGUAAAGGCUGGCAAGUCCCAAGUCCAUGAGUCAGGUGUCAGGCUGGAGGCUUCACCUGACUCAUAUACCUUCAGCGGCUGAAUGAACCCAAGAUUGGCUGGUAAGAUGGUAGGCUGCUGGAUCACAGGCUAUGGAGGCCGAUCAGUCCCAACAUUGGUAGGCAAAAUAGCAGACCACUGGCUCAAGUCCCAAGAACCAGAGGUCAGAUGAUGACGAACCAGAAACCAGAUGCAGGUUCUGGAGCAAGCAAGUGAGCUUUGCCAGAAUGUUCAUACAUAUAUUGGAUGCAGGCCAUACCUGCAAUGAAACUCCUCUUACAACUGAUUGACUGGUCACAUCAGAUCACAUCAUAGAGGAUGGCUACAUCAUUACAUAACUGCCAAACUACAUCCUUACGUAACUUCCAAAUUACAUCAUUACAUAACCGCCAAACUACAUCCUUACUUAACUGCUGAACCUCUGAGAAUCAUGGCCCAGUUGAGCUGACAAACAACCUUAGUCAUCACAGGCCCCUUCCUGUCUACCAGGGCCAGGGCCCAUCCUUUCACGUAAUUCGGUUCUCUGCUGAGAAAAAUUAGGAUAGACCAACUCGGCCUCUGCUACUAGCUUAUUAGGUCACUUUUGGAGGAUUCUUUCCUGUCACCGAGAUGAUAAAGCUGAAUUAGAGAAGAGCCCUUCUCUGAGGAUGUCCAGGCCCUAAAAUUCCGUGGCUUCAUGGGGAUAGUGCAGAACCGGGCAGUGUGUCGUUCUCUUGUACGUGGGGUCACCAUGAGUUGGGGUCAACUCAAUGGCAGCUAACAACAAAAUUCUGUGAGGCUCCCUCAAAAAGUUCUUUGGUGUUCAUUUCUGUGCCCAGAAUGUUUUUCUGCCUGCUGAUGACAGCAGGGCGGACGAUGAUAAGCAGGUGGUCCUGUGGGAUGGCCUGGGGCCCUGGAUCUCUAUGAGGAGCAGAGACGUGGGAUCCUUCACAUACCCACAGAUGAAUGCACGUUUCCUGGGGAUGGGUCUUCUCUGCCUGUUGAACUGAGCAGAUGGCUGUGCUUAAGAUGAAAAAGGAAGUUGCCAAAUCCCCUCUCUGUCCAGCUUAGAAUUUAGGAAGAAACAAGCCAACGACUCCUCACUAACUUUGAGAUCCUUCCCCUCAAUCAGCAGCCUCUGCACUUUCUUCCUGCAGAUGUUUCCUUUCUCUGAGAGCCUGUGAGGAGCCACCUCUUCAUCACCCCUUGAAUAUUCCUGUUUUCAUGCCACCUCCCUGCUCCUAAGUCCACAGGUCUGCCUCAGCCUGCGUGCUGCUGCCAGCUUUCCGAGCCUGACACUCCAGACCCUCCACAGUCUGGGUCCUUUCUAAAAGGUGAGGGUGGGGAGUAGAACUAGACCUUAAGCAGUGAGAUGGAGCGGGUCACAGAGCAAAGGUAGGUUGGACCAAGGCAUAGAUACUGGGCUUGGCCAGGUGUGGGCAGGGUUACACGGGAGAUCAGCUGGCUGAGCCCAGGCUGUGUUUGGAGGGCAAAAGGAGGAAUAGCCAGUUGGCAAAAUCUUGCUGAGAAGGGCUUUUAUUAGUUUCUAGAAUGAUGCAGUUCUUGGCCCAGCUGAAGUGAAUGACAGACAGCCUUGGUACAGUGCUGCUUAGAGGAUGUCUGCAUACCACACAGGGGUCCUGGUCAGCAGUGCUGAAGUUGCACCUGCUACUGGGAAGGAAGGAGUAAGUGGGCAUGGCCUGUCUUGCCAAUGGCCUCAUCCUUUGGCCCCCCUGGUUAAGAAGAUAAUGACUUUUCCAUUGCCCUCAGAGAAUUCCCAACCAGAAACUAAGUGUAGUUAAAGCAAACCAAGAGAUGAUACAACCUUUCUGCAGGUCAGCUGGGCAAUAUAUGUCAAGGGGAUUAAAACUACACACACCUUUUGAUGCAAGUCUCACUGCUAGUAGGUGAUCCUAGGGACAUGAUCAGGGAGGUGUGCAAAGCUGUGUGUACACACAAGACGGUUGCUGCAGCGUUACUUACAAACAUACGGCUCAGAAAUGCCCCUACUGACCAGUAAAAGGGGCUUGUUUAAAAAUUAGGUGGCAAAAAUAGUUUGUGCUCAACUCCUAAUGGAGAGGCUGGAGGUUCAAAUCUACCCAGUGGCACUGUGAAGAAAGGCCUGGUGAUCUACUUCUGAAAAGUCAGGCAUUGAAAACCCUAUGGAACACACUUCUACUCUGAAACAUAUGGGGUCACCAUGAGUCAGAGUUGACUCAAUGACAAUGGGGUUUUUUGUUUGUUUUUAGUUAAAAAAAAAAAAAAAAAUUUGUACACUCAUAGAGUAGACUACUACACUGCCAGUAGUUGGCUUUGCAAUUUAAUAGCUGUGUGUGAAUAAUUAGGUAAAUUGCUCUACCCAUCAAGCCCUAGUGUCCUCCUCCGUAAAACGGAGAUGUCUGUGUUCACUCACCCCUGUGAAGUGUGACGCCUGGGUGCAGCCUCUGCAGCCGGACUGCCUGGGUGUGAAUGGCUUCGCUUCUCUAGAGAACCCAACCAAAGACAGAGCCCUCGGAGAACAGACAAGGACAUAAAAACAUAGACUCAUAUGGUUGGAAGGCUCUCAUGAUUCACUGUGGUGGCAACAAUGGAUUCGAGCAUACCAGUGAUUGUGAAGAUGGCACAGGACUGGACAGCAUUUCCUUCUGUUGUACAUAGGGUCACUAUGAGUAGGAGCUGACUUAACAGCAACUAACAGCAACGAUAGAGCUUCCUGGUGUCCUAGAAGGCCAGGCUUUAGCUGGGAGACCCCUUGGAGAUUCCCACUACCACAUGACGUUCUCCUGCCCCGUCUGGGGACUCUAGCAGAGAUCAGGACCCUGGCUCCCAGGUCCGAACUCCACCCCCACCCUCUGCACAUAGCUGCCCCUUGGCCAGCCCUUGGGCCUAGAGGAGCACAUAUGGACCAUUUGGUCCACCCACAGGAAAAUGGAACUGGGGAAGAGCCCUGGGGAAGCCUCAGAAGUGGGCUUGGGCAUUUAGACAAAGAGCCCAGGGCCCCGGGAGCCUGGAAUAUCGUCUGAGGGAAGGUGCAUUGCUCUAACUGGGCCCACCCCGUUGGCCCUAAAGACUCCUUACUGUAAGGAAGAGUGGGGCCAGAGCAGGGCCUUCUAGCUUGCAGGGCCUAGGGCUGGGGCCCCUCUUGCCAAGGUCAGAGGGGGUGAGAUAGGGAGUUAGGAAAAAAAAUCAGGUUCUUGGUUUUGCUAUUUCCAGGUGAGGGUCACCCAUGGUGGACAGGUUUCAGCAGAGUUUUCAGACUAAGAUGGACUAGGAAGAAAGGCCUGGUGACCUACUUCCAAAAAUCUGUCUGGACCUCAGUCUCCCCAUCUGCCAUCUCUUUAGCCUCUGGGCCCCUCUGACUCUGCCCUGAGUUCUAAAGUGGACCCUGUCCUUCCUAAGGCCAGGGGACACCAGUCCUCAUCUUCCUCCAGCCUUCCUGCCCAGUGCCAACCUCUUCAAAUUAUCCUCAGAAUUUAACACUCUUUGGGUUUUGGGGUUUUACUUCCCUAAACAACAGGCCUAGAUCUUGAAAAAACAAAAACAAGCAAAGGAUUUCUGCUUAUGUAUUUCAUUUGUGAUCGUAAAAGCAAUGUAAUCCUGACCAGGCUCAUGCACACAGGUUUGCAGGCCUCCCAAGCAGGCCAACCUUUACAGAAGGCUUGUUUACAGCGUGGCCUGUUCUCCCUGCAAGGUCUGCAAUCAGGAUCUUGAAAAAAAUAAGUGAAUUAGGCAAAUUGAGAGGACAGAGGGUUCCUGACCUAGAGCAGGGAGAAGCUGGUGUGGGCCUGUGAGUGCUGCAGGGCUCAGGGAGGGCCCUGGGGAGGACAGAUAAGGCCAGAGGGGGUGGGCGGAGGAAGAGGGAACAGGAAGAGGGCAAAGAGUGCAAUGGGGGAAGGAGGGCUAGUAUUAGCAUUUAACGAGUUUUACCACAUUCCCUUGGAGUCUCUGGGUGGUAUAAGGGGUUCACACGCUCCACUGCUGAGUGAAAGGUUGGAGAUUCGAGUUCACCCAGAGGCACCUCAGAAGAAAGGCCUGGCAAUCUACUUUAGAAAAAUCAGCCAUUAAAAACCCUGUGGAGCACAGUUCUACUCCAACACACAUGGGUCACCAUGAGUCAGAGUCAGCUUAUGACAGCAUGCCAUGGCCUGUGACGAAUUUUUUACAUACAUUUUUCUCAUCAGUUAAGGAUUUUAUGUUGUUGUUGGGUGCCGUUGAGUAGACUCUGAUUCAGAGUGACCCUAUAGGACAGAGUAGAACUGCCUCAUUGGGUUUCCUAGGCUGUAAUCUUUACAGGAACAGAUCGCCAGGUCUUUUCUCUCACAGAGCCAAUGGUGGGUUUGAACUGCCGAUGUUUUGGUCGGCAGUGGAGCACUUAAUGAUGACAUCCCCAGGGCUUCUUUAUAGAAUAAAAUCUCCUCCUUUCCAGUUCCCCAAUUUUGGAAACUGACAUGGGGUUGCUCAUUUCUUAUUUUGCCAAGGAGAGACAUUAAAAAACAAAUAUUCAUUCGAUUGUCUAUUUGUUUAGCAAAUAUUUAGUGUAGACAUUAUUUCGGGCUCUGGGGUCCGGCCAUGAGCAAGAUAAGACAAAAAUCCCUGCCCUCAGGGGAAGAGUCAGACAAGGAACAAAAAUGGGAAGUAAACGACAUGUCAGGUAGGGGUCAGGUAUAUGGAGGAAAAACAGGGCAAGGAAGGGGAGAGGGCCCUCCAGGGUGGAGUGACAGUGUUGAGUACAGUUGUCAAGAAGGCAUCCUUAAGGAGAGGGGAAAAAAAACAAAAUGAACAGCAUCUGUUGAGUUGAUUCUGGCUCAUGGUGGCUCUGUAUGUGUCAGAGUAGAACUGUGUUCCAUAGGGUUUUCAACGGCUGAUUUUUCAGAAGAUCACCAGGCCUUUCUUCCUAGGUGCCUCUGGGUGAACUCAAACUUCUAACUUUUCAAUUAGCAGCUGACCACAGUGAGUGCUGGCGCCACCCAGGGACUCCUUGAGGAGACAUUGGAGUGAAUAUCUGAAGGGGGAGGAAUCUGAGCCUCCGAGAAGGAGAUUGCCUUGCUCUGGGUCACAACAGCUGGUACCCGGCAGGGCCAGGAUUUGAACUCAGAUCGGGCAGGCACCAGGACCAUUGCUCUUACCCACCAGCCAUUCUGGCCUGCUUCAGCAGUCACACCUCCUGACCCCAGCCCCAGGGCACUGCAGCGCUGAUGAAAAGAACAACUCUGCCAUCAGGUUUAACCUGAUUUUCCUUUCUCUUCCUUCCCCAAACUGCCAGCCUGGGCAGUAUGGACAACCAGCUGACCUGGCCGGGACAGGUAGGUGGGUCAGGCCAAGAUUUUGCUAUCUGCUGGAAAUCAAGGGGCAGCUUCCUGGCUCUUUGCCUUCUGGGGCCUUUGUGUUGGCAUGGGCCUUGUUCGUGAGCCUGGCUAUGUUCGGUGGGUGUGGCUUUCAAACCAGGUCAUGCCAAUGAGUAUUACUGGCCCCUGCUCUGUACCCCACUGAGUGCUGGGAACUUUGUGUGUUUUCUCACUGCAAUGAAUCCUCUCAACCACAGUAAAAGGUAGGCGAGAGAUUCACUCAUUUCUUCAAUCAUUCAUUCACACCUUCAUUCCACCAAAAUUUGCUGAGCACCGUUUCACUGCAGAGAAUAUUGUCUGAACCUUUAUGGUGAGGCAGGCAUUGUGCCAGGCGCUCGUAUUCUCAUUUGUUGUUGUUAUUGUUAACUGCUGUUGAGUCAGCCCUCAACUCAUAGUGACCCUGUGCACAAUAGAACAGAACACUGCCUAGUUCUGAGCCAUCCCUAUGAUCGGUUGCAGUUCAGACUGUUGUGAUCCAUAGGGUUUUCACUGGUUCAUUUGGAGAACUUAGAUUGCCAGGCCUUUCUUCCUAAUCCAUUUUAGUCUGGAAGCUCUGCUGAAACCUGUUCGGUAUCAUAGCAACACACAAGCUGCCACUGACAAAUGGGUGGUGGCUGCACGUGAGGUGUAUUGGUGGGAAUUGAAUCCAGGUCUCCCACAUGGAAGGCAAGAAUUCUACCAUGGAACUACCACUGCCCCUAUAUUCUUACUUAAAGAAGUAUUAAAUCAGAGUAUGGUAUAAGGAGAAAUUCUUCAGGUGGAUGGGAGAUUUACUCAGAUUGGAAGAGACCUGGGAAGUUUUAAGAGGAUGUAAGAUCUGAGCUGGGCUCUGCAAAGCAGGUGGGGCUUGGCAAGUUUUGUGUGGGAAAGGGCAUUCAGGCAAAGGGAACAGCCUGAACAAAGGGUGGACAAUCAGUUAAAGAAGGGAGUUUCUAUGAACCAAGAGCUGACCCUCGGGACAGGGUUUCUCUGUAGGAGAGUGGAAGGAGCAGUGGUAGGUCAGAGGGCAGUGUGGAAAAGGAGGUUCCCUAUCUGGUCUCUGAGUGGCCUUGGGCCAGUCAUCUACCCUUUGACCCUUAGUUUGCCAUCUUAUAAAUCCGGAGUGGUGAUCCUCAUCCUGUCUGUCUUAUAGGGAAGGUUUGACAGUCAAAGGGCCUACAGAGAUUCUGCGAUGCUGAGAGAGCGCUCACUUGCUCGCUUUAGAGUAGGGCCUUUUCUUUAUGCUCCCAUGAUCCCCUGUUCAGCCUCUGCCCCAGUAUGUAUGGGGCUCUGGAUGUGACCUCCUGCCCACACCCCACCACACCCAGGUGCUCCUGGAGGUCAGGGGUGUGUCUUGCACUUUUGUAUUACUGGGCCCAACCCACCCAUGGCAUGUGCACAAGAUAAGUGGUCAGAGUCUGGAGUCUGCCUGACCUCAGCCUGGUUCCAUAUCGCCUGUGUGACCCCCCCAGCAAAUCAAUCCCCUCUCUGAGCUUCAGUUUCCUCCUUGGUGGAAUAGAUGUGCUAAUAGGACGGUGAGAGAUUUACUGAGCAAAGGUUCCUAUGGAGCUUGGUUCCAGCCCAGUGAGCCCUCCAUGACUGGCUGCUAUUUCUGGUCCAAACCAGAGCUCUCACCACCUUUGCUGGAAGAUCUUGGGAGGUGGAAGACUGUUGCUGGUCCCACUCACAGGAUUAUGAAGGGCAGGAGGAAUCCCAGUCAUCAGUCAAUUCCUCACUCUGUUGAUUCCCUGGUGCCUUCACUCACUCACUCACUUAUUCACUCAUUCGCUCACCCCUUUCAUUCAUUCAAUUAAUAUUCACUGAGCACCUUGCAAGCACCCAGCACAGUGCUGGGUGCUCCAAAUGAUACAAAAUGUUUAAGGUGAGGUUUCUAACUGCACGAGAGAACUUCUGUGAGAAGGAAAACCAGCAAGCAGUAUAAAACUACGGGCCCCUUGCGUGGGGAAGGCAGUGUCUCCUGAGUUCAGAGAGAGGAAAAUUGAGGGGAAGCGAGGAGGUUGGUGGUAGGGGUGUGUGAUAGGGAACCCACUCAAGAAGGAGGACUUGAGCAGGGUCUGAGGAAUUCGGACAGGCAGGGAGGGGCAGCAGGGCAUUCUGGGUACCAGGAACUGCCUGAGCAAAAAGGCAGAGGAAGGAAUACAUGUGGCAAUUAGACCUAAGUGCUUUGAUGGAGGGAACGGUGGAAUCUGGUUGUACAGGUGGACGGGGCUGGGUGGCAGAGGGUCAGGAGGCUGAACACUUCCUGUAGACUCAGAUUCCAGGAUGGUGACUGAAUACAGCUGGGACACCACUGAACUCACAGGCUCUGAGGAAAACCUGGAAGGUGGUGUGGUGGAAGUGUCAGCCACGGGCUCCUCUCCCUGCCCAGGAGGCCUGGCACUGCACAGGACACGGGGUGGGAAGAGAACUUUGUUGUGGCGCAGCCUGUCUCCAGUUCACCGUGCAAGCUCCGCUGCUAUCCAGUCAUCUCCAGCUCAUGGUGACCCCAUGUAUAACAGAACAAAACAUUGCCCAGUCCUGCGCCAUCUUCAUGAUGAUUGUUGGUAUGUUUGAGUCCGUUGUUCCAGCCAUUGUGUAAUCCUUCUCUUAGAGGGUUUCCUUCGUUUUUGCUGACCCUCUACUUUACCAAACAUGAUGUCUUUUCUAGCAAUUGAUCUUUGCUGAUGAUGUAUCCAAAGUAAGCGAGCAGAAGUCUUGCUAUCUUCCCUUCUAAGAAGCUUUCUGGUUGUAUUUCUUCUAAAACGGAUUUGUUCAUUCUUCUGGCAGUACACACUGUAUUCAAUAUUCUUUGCCAACACCACAGUUUGAGUACAUGAAUUCUUCUACCUCAAGUAGGUCACCGUAUUUCUCAGAGUCACAGUUUCUAAACAUGUAAAACUGGCGCAACUGCGCCAGAUGAUCCCAAUUGCCUAUCCAGCUCUGGGAUGCUAUGAAUCCUCUUGAUAAUGGUUCCAGACACAUCUGCCAUUGCAAACCUGCUCACUACAAUUUCUUUGAAAUCAUCCUCCCCACCAGCCACAUGGUAACCUAGGCAGCCAUAUUUGUGUCAUGUGACUUCUUCCUUUCCUCUGGCCAACCCGAUUGGACCAGAGAAAUAUUCCCGAUUCUGGAGGGGCACACUCCAUAGCCAAUCAGAUUUAUGCUUUGGAGAAUUUAAACCAAGAGACCUAGAGCCUGGAUCAAUCAGUGUUAGCCACUAGCUGCAAGACAAUAAGGAAAAGAGUAAUAAUGUGUGUUGAGUACUUAUCCUAUUGGGCACUUUAUUUUAUUCUCACAUCAGCCCUGCAAAGUAGGCUCUAUUAGGAUUCCAAUCUUACAGAUGAGGAAACUGAGUUUUAAGGAUGUGUUAUAUUUGUCAGAUUAUAGCAUGCAGCUAGAUGAGAUGUAUUCCAAUUCCCCCCCCCAAAAAAUUGGAGGAAAAUGUUAAAAUCUUUUUCUUCAUACAUAUACUGAUAAUAAUUUGAAGAGAUUUAUACAUAUAUAUAAACUUGUUCUUAUAUUCAUGUAAACACAGUAUACAAAAAAAAAAAAGAAAACCCAUUGCUUUCGAAUCGAUUCCAACUCAUAGCGACCCUAUAGCACAGAGCAGAACUGCUCCAUAGGAUUUCCAAGGAGCACCUGGUGGAUUCGAACUGCCGGCCUUUUGUUUAGCAGCCAUAGCUCUUAACCACUACACACCACCAGGGUUUCCAAUAAAUACAGUAUACUCUAUAAUAAAAUUCCAGAAGGAAAUACCAAAUAAGUUCUAAAAAAGAAACAAACAAAAAAAAUAAGUUCUACUAACCCAGAAAUAAAGUGUUUCUUGGAACUAUAGGUAAAGAACUUAACAAAUGCAUCUAAUGUGCGUUUUGUGUUCUGGGAAGACCCUCUGCUGAGAUCAUAUACAUUUUUUUCUGCCAUUAGAACCACCACCAGCUGCCACUGAAUUGACUUCAACUCAUGGCGACCCCAUGGGUGGCAGAGCAGAACUGUGCUCCACAGGGUUUUCAAGGCUGAUUUUUCAGAAGUAGAUCACCAGGCCUUUCUUCCAAGGUGCCUCUAGAUGGGCUCAAACCUCCAACCUUUCAGUUAGCAGCUGAGUGUGUUAACCAUUGACUCCUCUGCCACUAGGCCUAUCUGCUAUUUUAAGCCUUCACCAUGUGCCUCUUAUCAAUAACAUGAACGCGUUGUGUGUAUUUAGUGGGGGAAAGAUGCGGAAUUUGUCUGCAUUGUUGCAAAUUGUCUACAAUGUUACUACAUUGGCAAGUGUAGCAACAAAUCUUCCAUAAAUGGGAUGUGGCCUGGGUUUCUAGCACCUCUCUCUCCUGCCUCCCAGGACCUGAUCUUGGAGAGCUGGGCCAGAGUGGAGCCACGUGGACCAAAAUCCUGGGCAGGUAGAAGUUACGGGAGAGCAGGAAGAAGAAAUCUGCAGACCAAGCUGGUCCACAAAGAGGGGCAUAGAGCCCAUGAUCAGAGAGAAGCGGGGACAGAGACCAUGGAGCCCCAGAAAGCUAUGGGGAGGAGAUGGUAUUGGUGCCUCUGAGGCCUAGGGUACUUCCUGCAGCUGGAAUCUCUGCGAUUUCUCUGUCCCUUGGUGACCAGUUUUUUGUUUUUUUUUUUAAAUGUGAAUUUCUCUGAGUAAAAAUUGGUUCCCACCAAUCAGAUGGAGUUCCUGGGUGGUGCAAAUGGUUAACGUGCUUGAGUGCUAACCUAAAGUUUGGAGGUUUGAAUCCACCCAGAGGCACCUCGGAAGAAAGACUUGGGGAUCUACUUCAGGAAAUUCAGCCAUUGAAAACUCUACGGAGCAUGGUUCUACUCUGACAAAUAUGGGGUUGCCACGAGUCAGAGUCCACUCAGUGACAGCUGGCUUUACCAACCAGACCAUCCCCAAUGAAGACCUUGGUUUUAUGAUCAUGCCUUAUUAAUAGAUAUUGUGGGCUAUGAAUCCUACUCCAUAAACUUGACUGUGCAAGAAACAUGCAAUGAUUUUACUUCCUUGAAGUCUAAUUAAAUAUGACCCUGAACUGACAUUCAUGACGAGGUGGCUAGAAAUUUGACCUCAGGUAUUAAUGAGGUGAGGGAACACCUUUCCUUUCUUUACAGUAGUACAAAAUCUGGGUGCCUUGUAUAUUGUUGUUAACUGCUAUAGAGUCAGACCCCCACUCAUGGCGACCGAUUGCAGAUCGAUCAUUGUGAUCCACAGGGGUUUCAUGGGCUAAUUUUUGGAGGUAGAUUGCUAGGCCUUUCUUCCUAGAUUGUCUUAGUCUGGAAGCUCCACUGAGACCCGUUCAGCAUCACAGCAAUACACACACCUCCACUGGCAGAUGGGUGAUGGCUGCGCACGAGGCGCAUUUGCUGAGAAUCAAACCAGGGUCUCCCACAAGGAAGGCCAGAACUUUACCACUGAAACACAGAUAACCUCAUUGGGCAGCUUGUUGGGUCUCAAAGCCACUUGACUCUCUCCCUUUCCUGCAAGGCAAUAUCCAAGCCCAGGCAACGGCCAGGGAGGCAGCCUGUCAGCCAGCGGCUUCUAUUUACAGCAAGGGGGUGCAGAAUCAGACAAUCUGCUUGCACUGAAGGAAGGAAGGGUUUUGGAGCACAAACUAGCACCUGACUCUCUGCUAGUUGUGUUCCUAAUGGCCAUGGCACCCAUUGCUUCUAGCAACUUCCUUUUUUGCAGGAGGGCCCUGUGGGUACCACCAUACUCGAGCAGAGGUAGAUGGAGAGGGAACAGCUGGUUACUGGCCCUCCUGGCCCACCUCCUGGGGAUUGCAUUCUUCGGUAAGUCUGGUCAGUGUGAGGGUCCACCAGACUCCCAGAGAGCCCUUGCCUCCUCAGACACGCUGCCCAGUGGCCACCCAACCCAGGCCUCUGCUAUUUUCCUGGGUUCCUCCUUGGAGUAGCUCUCGGUUUGUUUUUCUUGGGUGUACAAAAGUCACUUUGCUAAAGCUCGUAUCUGACCUUCCACUUGGCUGUUAAAACUCCCAGCCUUUGGGACAAAUCACCAACUCCUUAAUGUGGCUUUGAAGGCCCUACAUGACUUGGUUCUUGCUUGCCUUUCAAGACCUAAUUCUCACAGUUAUCCUCUACACAUUCGCUCUCUGCUCCAGAAUCGCAGACUCUCUCUCUCUCUCUCUCUCUCUGUGUUCUCUGCCUGGAACAUGGUCUCCCCAGCAGCAGCAUCACCUGAUUCUCAAGUGUUAGGGGAGGGAACAGUGGCUUUGAAGUCCCUAUGCCUGAAUUCAAAUGUCAGCUCUACUACUUGCUAGCUAUGUGACCUUUUAUCCUCUGAGCCUCCAUUUUCUCAUCUGUUAAUUCAGCAUCAUUAAACUGACUUCACAGGACUGAGAUGAGGAUUCUGCGAGAAAAUGAGUAUAAAACACAAAGUGUGGGCAGAAAAUGUGCCACUCUGCUAUGGAGCCCUGGUAGUGCGGUAGUGAAGAACUUGGCUGCUAACCAAAAGGUUGGCAGUUCGAAUCUACCAGCCACUCCUUGGAAACCCUACAAGGCAGUUCCGCUCUGUCCUAUAGGGCUGCUAGGAGUUGGAUUAAAUUCGAUGGCAAUGGGUUUGGUUUUGGCUUGCUAUGUGCUCAGUAAAUAAAACUUUCUCUUUCAUUCAUCAACUAAUAUGUCCUCUUUUCACGCUACACUUGGGCUGAAUAGAAGCUGAAUAAGGUCUGACGAUCUGCUUCCAAAAAAUCAGCCAUUGAAAACCCUGUGGAGGGAGCACUGUUCUUCUCUGACCAGCACGGGGUUGCCACGAGUCGGAGCUGACUCCGCAGCAACUGGCCCUUUUAAUAUAGUUUAUCUAAGUUAACAGGUGGCUAACAGGUCAAGCACAGCAAGUGAUAGCCCCCAUUUAUCACCGUUUACCAUGUGCCAGAUACUGUGUGGGGUGUGUAAAGGCGUUAUCUCAUUGCCUUCCACAAAUCCCCUUGGAGAGAAGAGUUUUUAUUUAUUUAUCUAUCUACUCCUGUGGACAAGGAAACAAAGAUACAGAGAGCUUAAGUGAGUGAUUCUAUCUCCAACAGCGGCAGAGUCCAGUAGAGACUGAACCGUGGUCUAAGUCCAAAGACCAUACAGUCAAACACAGUCACACGCAUGCACAUACCCACAUCCAUGCCUGCACACACACACAGUCACAUACACUCACACACACACACACUCAGACACAGACGCCCACAUCCACACACAUACACACACGUAAAUAUAUAUAUACUUGCACACACUCACACUCACUCACAUACACACACAAGUAAACCCCCAUCAUGUCCCAGCCAAGGAGAGCAGAGCUGGCUGAACUUAGGACAGAGCUGGCCUCUAUUCUUAACCUCGCUACGCUGAGCAAACAGUUUCGUUCAUGAAGACGCUGUUGUUUCAUUAGGGCUUGAGUGGCUGCUUUCUCUCCCGCAAUGCUCUUCCCCUUCCCGACAGUCCCAGAUGAGCAGGGCCAGCCGGAGAGCAUGUGCUCAGAACGCGGUCGUUGGUUCUCGCUCGGGGAGGGAGGGCUGCCCCUGGUCCCAGGACGCUCAAAGCCUUCACCUGAUCUGACUUAUUCGGGGCAGACAGGCUCUGACAGAUGGGUGGAAUACCUCUCUGCUUUUUCCUUUAUUUAACCUUGCUCUCCAAGCAUUCAUUGCUUUAUUGAUUGUGCAGGCAUCUUUCUACUUCCAUGGACUGUGGUGGACACACUGCUUUUGUAAAUUGUGCCUGUAAGCAUUUUAGUCUUUCAAAAGUGUCCUCAUUUUAGAAGUGGUGACUAGUUUAGUCCCCAGGAGGCUGACCCAUCUGCAGUAUUAUACAUUCAUUCAUUAAAAAAAAAUGUUUACUGAGCAUCUACUAUGGGUAGGAAGUACCUGGACAGUACAGUUAAUGCACUCAGCUGCUAACUGAAAGGUUGGCAGUUCAAGUCUACCCGGAGGUGCCUCAGAAGAAAGACCUGGCCAUCUACUUUCAGCAAAUCAGCAAUUGAAAAUCCCUAUGAAGCACAGUUCUACUGUGACACACAUGGGUUCAACAUGAGUUGGAAUCGACCUGAUGGCAACUGGUUUACCAUGGGUGGGACACUAUUACAGGCACCAUGAUAACAAUCAUGAGCCAAACAGGCCCGGUUCCUGUCAUCAAGGAGACUACAGGAGGGAGGUAGAAAACAGGUUAGCAAACAAAGGAAUAAGCAAAAUAAUGUCAGGUAGUCAUGUGUUAUAAUGCAGUGCAAAAGGCUAUAUGCAAAAAAAAAAAAA